rnacentral:rRNA from 1 species
AUUGAACGCUGGCGGCAGGCCUAACACAUGCAAGUCGAACGAGUGGCGGACGGGUGAGUAAUGUCUGGGAAACUGCCUGAUGGAGGGGGAUAACUCCUGUAAACGGUAGCUCAUACCGCAUACCAUCGGAUGUGCCCAGAUGGGAUUAGCUAGUAGGUGGGGUAAAGGCUCACUUAGGCGACGAUCCCUAGCUGGUCUGAGAGGAUGACCAGCCACACUGGAACUGAGACACGGUCCAGACUCCUACGGGAGGCAGCAGUGGGGAAUAUUGCACAAUGGGCGAAAGCCUGAUGCAGCCAGGCCGCGUGUAUGAAGAGGGCCUUCGGGUUGUAAGGUAAUUGCAGCGGGGAGGCGUUACCCGCAGAGGAAGCACCGGCUAACUCCGUGCCAGCAGCCGCGGUAAUUC